CGGGGUGAGGAACACGUGGGUGACCUACCUCGAAGUGAGGGAUACCGGCGAGAAAUCGCCGACAAUCCCGCAUAGGUUUCUUUCUUCGGUGGAAGAGGGAAACAAAGCUUUUUUUCGCGAGAAGAGGGGCGCUUUGAGAUGGGCCCGCGGCCGAUUAGCUAGUUGGUGGGGUAAAAGCCUACCAAGGCGUCGAUCGGUAGCUGGUCUGAGAGGACGAUCAGCCACACUGGGAUUGAGAACGGCCCAG
rnacentral:rRNA from 1 species